ACGCAUUUAAGGAGUGGUUCUCGAAGUAUGUUCCCUGGACCAGCGGUAUCAACAUCACCUGGGAAGAUGUAGAAGCACAAAUUCUCCUGCCUACUCCAGACCUACGGAAUUAGAAACUCUGGGGCUGGAGCUCAGUAAUCUGUGAUUUACCAGUCCUCCAGGUGAUUCUGAAACAUGCUCUCGUGUGAGGACCACUGCUGUAAAGGCAAGUCUGUCCACUUGUAAAACCCUGUGAUUCUACCUUGCCUGAUAAUCUUCACCAACUCGAAACUGUAGUGAACUCCGUAUCCUCUCAUUGAGCAGACCUCUUGGCCUCAAAAGGAGAUGAAGAUGUGAGACCAUGCCAGGGAGCUGAAGACAAGGUUUUCCUGAAGGGGAAAGGAAGGUUUCAUUGUGAAGGAUUCCAGAAAGAUCUCUCUCUCUCUCACUCUGGAGAAGGAGGAGGAGGAAGAAAAUGUUCUGGAGUCUGGAAGUCCAAGAUGAAGGUGCCUGCAGAUUCGGUGUCUGUUGAGAACUUUCUUCCUGGUUUGUGGACGGCAGUCUUCUUGCUGCAUCCUCACAUGAUGGAGAGAGAGAGAGGGCUAUGACAGAAGAGAUGGAAGCAGAGGGAACACCCACAGCACAGGAUCAGUCAUCAGCAGUGCUCAGAACAAGGCCUCGGACUCUUCUCUCAAUUCAACUCUUCCAGCAACUCUCCUGUUUUCCCAUCUUGCUUGGAAGAGCGCAGACCAACGGGUAACACAGAUGAAAGCAAUGUUACCAUAAUACUCAGUAUUUAGAAUAAUACCUUUAUUCCAGGGUGCUCUGCAGACAUUACCUCAUUAAUCUUCAUAACAUCUUUAAGAAAGGAGGAGGGAAUAGUUUCUGCCCUCAUUUAAUGGAUGGCAUAGCAAUGGCUUAAGGCCAGGACAUGAUUCAGUGUCAUGGCUGAAACAAAGCCACAUUCCCCAAACCCUCAGGUCGGGGCACCAUCAGCCGCUUCAGGAGUAAGCGUAGCUCUUUGGGGUAGCCAACAGGGAAGGGAUACGACUCCAACACUGGCAGAUGUGGAAGGAGACCAGAUGAAUAAGAUGCUACUCACUGUUACCAAAAGCAUCAAAAGACACUACUCAUUUGUUAUUAUAACAAAUAUUUGUUGAGGACCUGCUAGGAGCACUUUGCUGUUGGAAGGAGCAAGAAAAGGAAAAUGGGGGAAAGCAUGGAAGAAUGACCCAUAAGUCAGACAGGAACACUCCACUCAGAAAGUUUACAUUCGUUCAUUCAUCAGUCAUUCAACAAGCGGAAGCCUCUCAGAUGCCAUUCAAGGUGUGGGGGAUACAAAUAGAUACCAGACCUUGCCUUCAAGAGGAUUAGUCUAUUAGGCUAACCAAAUUUUUAAAACUUGGAGCAUAGAGCAAUACAUGUUGAAGAAAAUUUAUGCUCAUAUUGUUACGGAAGUGCAAAAGAAGAACGUUCAAGUCAGCUUAAGUGAAUCAGGGAAGGUUUCUCAAGGUAUUCGUGGCCUGUGCUAAGACUUGCAAGAUGAGUGAAGUUUAAUUAGGGGAAGGGUAUGCUAAGUAGAGGGAUGAGCUCCCAAGGAAUUGCUGUGUGAAACUCCGAAGUCAUUUGUCUUAACUUGGGGAGGAGUCUCUGCUGGUGGAGGCCCGGGUUGCAGAUGGGAGGACGAGCCCCUAAGAAAAAGAAAACGGCAACGUCAGAGCACGAGGAGCUCAUGCAGCAAGUUCAGGAGUUUAGACUUUACCACAACGGCUUGGGGGACCUACAAGGAUUAUGAGGCCAUUUAGUAGGAUU
ensembl:lncRNA